GGGUGUGAUUUCUCCCUGGCAACUUUCGGCGAUAAACCUUGGGAACUGGGGUCUAAAUCCCCGGGAUUUAGGACACCUGUGUUUAAGUUCCAACUUGUGGAAAUUUUUCGGUCCAGAAUGAGCUCCCGGCCUAUCAGCUGUUGUCGGGUAAAUGGCCUACCAAGGCGUCGACGGGUACCCGGCCCGAGAGGGUUUACGCCACAUUGGGACUGAGAUCGGCCCAGACUCCUACGGGAGNCACCAUUGGGGAAUAUUGCACAAUGGCCGGAAGCCUGAUGCAGCGACGCCGCUUGGGGGAUGAAGGCCUUCGGUUGUAAACUCCUUUCGACAGGGACGAAGCGUAAGUGACGGUACCGGUAUAAGAAGCACCGGCUAACUACGUGCCAGCAGCCGCGGUAAUACGUAGGGUGCGAGCGUUGUCCGGAAUUACUGGGCGUAAAGAGCUCGUAGGUGGUUUGUCGCGUCGUCUGUGAAAUUCCGGGGCUUAACUCCGGGCGUGCAGGCGAUACGGGCUGACUUGAGUGCUGUAGGGGAGACUGGAAUUCCUGGUGUAGCGGUGAAAUGCGCAGAUAUCAGGAGGAACACCGAUGGCGAAGGCAGGUCUCUGGGCAGUAACUGACGCUGAGGAGCGAAAGCAUGGGUAGCGGAGGGGAGGAUUAGAUACCCUGGUAGUCCAUGCCGUAAACGCCUGCGCGCUAGGUGUAGGGGGCUUCCACGUCUUCUGUGCCGUAGCUAACGCAUUAAGCGCCCCGCCUGAGGGAGUACGCCGCAAGGCUA
rnacentral:rRNA from 1 species